rnacentral:rRNA from 1 species
UACGUAGGUGGCAAGCGUUGUCCGGAUUUACUGGGUGUAAAGGGCGUGUAGGCGGGAUGGCAGGUCAGAUGUGAAAUACCCGGGCUUAACCCGGGGGCUGCAUUUGAAACCGCUAUUCUUGAGUGUCGGAGAGGAAAGCGGAAUUCCUAGUGUAGCGGUGAAAUGCGUAGAUAUUAGGAGGAACACCAGUGGCGAAGGCGGCUUUCUGGACGAUAACUGACGCUGAGACGCGAAAGCGUGGGGAGCAAAC